rnacentral:rRNA from 1 species
UACGUAGGGUGCGAGCGUUGUCCGGAAUUACUGGGCGUAAAGAGCUCGUAGGUGGUUUGUCGCGUUGUUCGUGAAAACUCACAGCUUAACUGUGGGCGUGCGGGCGAUACGGGCAGACUGGAGUACUGCAGGGGAGACUGGAAUUCCUGGUGUAGCGGUGGAAUGCGUAGAUAUCGUAAGGAAGACCAGUGGCGAAGGCGGGUCUCUGGA